GUGACUGCGUACCUUUUGUAUAAUGGGUCAGCGACUUAUAUUCUGUAGCAAGGUUAACCGAAUAGGGGAGCCGAAGGGAAACCGAGUCUUAACUGGGCGUUAAGUUGCAGGGUAUAGACCCGAAACCCGGUGAUCUAGCCAUGGGCAGGUUGAAGGUUGGGUAACACUAACUGGAGGACCGAACCGACUAAUGUUGAAAAAUUAGCGGAUGACUUGUGGCUGGGGGUGAAAGGCCAAUCAAACCGGGAGAUAGCUGGUUCUCCCCGAAAGCUAUUUAGGUAGCGCCUCGUGAAUUCAUCUCCGGGGGUAGAGCACUGUUUCGGCAAGGGGGUCAUCCCGACUUACCAACCCGAUGCAAACUGCGAAUACCGGAGAAUGUUAUCACGGGAGACACACGGCGGGUGCUAACGUCCGUCGUGAAGAGGGAAACAACCCAGACCGCCAGCUAAGGUCCCAAAGUCAUGGUUAAGUGGGAAACGAUGUGGGAAGGCCCAGACAGCCAGGAUGUUGGCUUAGAAGCAGCCAUCAUUUAAAGAAAGCGUAAUAGCUCACUGGUCGAGUCGGCCUGCGCGGAAGAUGUAACGGGGCUAAACCAUGCACCGAAGCUGCGGCAGCGACACUAUGUGUUGUUGGGUAGGGGAGCGUUCUGUAAGCCUGUGAAGGUGUACUGUGAGGUAUGCUGGAGGUAUCAGAAGUGCGAAUGCUGACAUAAGUAACGAUAAAGCGGGUGAAAAGCCCGCUCGCCGGAAGACCAAGGGUUCCUGUCC
rnacentral:rRNA from 1 species